rnacentral:misc_RNA from 1 species
GAUGAAGAACGUAGCGAAAUGCGAUAAGUAGUGUGAAUUGCAGAAUUCAGUGAAUCAUCGAAUCUUUGAACGCACAUUGCGCCCUUUGGUAUUCCUUAGGGCAUGCCUGUUCGAGCGUCAUUUAAACCUUCAAGCUAAGCUUGGUGUUGGGUGACUGUCCGCUUCACUGCGGACUCGCCUCAAAAUUAUUGGCGGCCGGUACAUUGGCUUCGAGCGCAGCAGAAACGCGAACUCGGGCCCGUCGUAUUGGCUCCCAGAAGCUAUCUUCACAAUUUUGACCUCGGAUCAGGUAGGGACACCCGCUGAACUUAAGCAUAUCAAUCAGCGGAGGA